AUACGGAGGGUGCAAGCGGUUAUCCGGAUUUACUGGGUUUAAAGGGUGCGUAGGCGGCCUGUUAAGUCAGGGGUGAAAUCCCGGAGCUCAACUCCGGAACUGCCUUUGAUACUAUCAGGCUUGAAUUAUGUUGAGGUUGGCGGAAUACAACAUGUAGCGGCGAAAUGCAUAGAUAUGUUGUAGAACACCGAUUGCGAAGGCAGCUGACUAAACAUAUAUUGACGCUGAGGCACGAAAGCGUGGGGAUC
rnacentral:rRNA from 1 species